rnacentral:ncRNA from 1 species
ACGAUGAAGAGUUUGAUCCUGGCUCAGGAUGAACGCUAGCGGCAGGCCUAACACAUGCAAGUCGAGGGGUAU